rnacentral:rRNA from 1 species
AUUGAACGCUGGCGGCAUGCUUUACACAUGCAAGUCGAACGGUAACAGGCCGCAAGGUGCUGACGAGUGGCGAACGGGUGAGUAAUGCAUCGGAACGUGCCCAGUAGUGGGGGAUAGCACGGCGAAAGCCGGAUUAAUACCGCAUACGACCUACGGGUGAAAGCGGGGGACCGAAAGGCCUCGCGAUAUUGGAGCGGCCGAUGUCAGAUUAGGUAGUUGGUGGGGUAAAGGCCUACCAAGCCUACGAUCUGUAGCUGGUCUGAGAGGACGACCAGCCACACUGGGACUGAGACACGGCCCAGACUCCUACGGGAGGCAGCAGUGGGGAAUUUUGGACAAUGGGCGCAAGCCUGAUCCAGCCAUGCCGCGUGCGGGAAGAAGGCCUUCGGGUUGUAAACCGCUUUUGUCAGGGAAGAAAUCUUCUGGGUUAAUACCUCGGGAGGAUGACGGUACCUGAAGAAUAAGCACCGGCUAACUACGUGCCAGCAGCCGCCGUAACAC